rnacentral:rRNA from 1 species
ACAUGGUCAGAUAUUUACUGUCUGAUUCCACGCUUUGUCGCAAGCAGAUGAUGUAGACAAUCCAUUGAAAUUUAAUUUUUUACUACAACAACUACCUACUGUCAAAGUCAGAAAUAAAUUUAAAAAUUAUUAUGACAACUUUUAGCAACGGAUCUCUAGGCUCUCGCAACGAUGAAGAACGCAGCAAACUGCGAAACGUAGUGUGAAUUGCAGACCGUGAAUCAUCGAAUCUUUGAACGCACUUUGCGCUGUCUGGAACACUGGACAGCAUGUCUGUUUGAGCAUCAUUUCUAUACAUCCUGUUUUCUAUUACCUGCGUUAUGCGUGUGCUGGGUGUUCAUCAUGUGCAACUAACUUUGUUGUUGAUUUGUACCUGGUGGUAGCACUCAUCAUGCGUGCAGUGUGAUUGUAACAGGGAUUUGUGGUUUAUCUUGGUUACUUGUGUACAUGCUUCUUUUCUUCUUGGAGAGAAGUUACUGUCGCUUGUAUAUGAUAUUCCAUUAAAUAUACUGAAGRUUCUCCAUACAUGAUUUAUUCUUGUAUGCUCUUCGAAAGACGUAUGUCCUUUGUGAACACUAUCUUUUAAAGAAAGAGAAGAAUCUUUUGUAAAGAAUCUCUCAUACAGGUUCUUCAUCGAAUACAUUAUGUGUCAGCGUAGUCACUUUUUGUGUAGCUGCCUGGAAACAUUGGUGUGUUUGGAAAACCGAUCUCAAAUCAGACAAGAUUACCCGCUGAACUUAAGCAUAUYAAUAAGCGGAGGAAAAGAAACUAACAAGGAUUCCCAUAGUAACGGCGAGUGAAGUGGGAACAGCUCAAAUUUGUAAUCUCUUCGGAGAGUUGUAAUUUGUAGAGGCGUUUUCGACGGUUAACCGGGUAGAAGUCUCUUGGGAAAGAGCGUCACAGAGGGUGAGAAUCCCGUUCGUGAUCCGGGUAUACCGCAGAUAUGAUACGCUUUCAAAGAGUCGGGUUGUUUGGGACUGCAGCCCUAAAUUGGUGGUAUAUUCCAUCUAAAGCUAAAUACAGGCGAGAGACCGAUAGCGAACAAGUACUGUGAAGGAAAGAUGAAAAGAACUCUGAAGAGAGAGUUAAAAGUACGUGAAAUUGCUAAAAGGGAAACGUUUGAAAUCAGUGCAGCCUGGAUGAAGUUCAGCCAUUCGUACCGGGUGGUGUAUGCUUCGUUCGGCCGGUCAGCAUCGGUUCAAUAAAACAUUUAUGUGCCAGAAGGAGAACCCGCGUGGAAGGUAGCUCUUCUUCGGGAGAGUGUUACAGACACGCGGAAAACUUCUGGCUGGACCGAGGAAAGCCUUGUGCAGGAUGCUGACGAAAUGGUUUCAAAUGACCCGUCUUGAAACACGGACCAAGGAGUCUAACACAUAUGCGAGUAUUUGGGAUUCACUCUCGAAUGCGCAAUGAAAGUGAACGUAGGUGGGACCUUUCGGGGGCACCAUCGACCGAUCUGGAUGUUUUAUAUUGAUAGAUUUGAGUAAGAGCAUAUUUGUUGGGACCCGAAAGAUGGUGAACUAUGCCUGAAUAGGGCGAAGCCAGAGGAAACUCUGGUGGAGGCUCGUAGCGAUUCUGACGUGCAAAUCGAUCGUCAAAUUUGGGUAUAGGGGCGAAAGACUAAUCGAACUAUCUAGUAGCUGGUUCCCUCCGAAGUUUCCCUCAGGAUAGCAGAGAUUUAUAUACAUCAGUUAGAUCAGGUAAAGCGAAUGAUUAGAGGCCUUGGGGUUGAAACAACCUUAACCUAUUCUCAAACUUUAAAUAGGUCUGAAGUCUAUGUUACUUAAUUGAACGUAGACACUCGAAUGAUAAUCUCUAGUGGGCCAUUUUUGGUAAGCAGAACUGGCGAUGCGGGAUGAACCGAACGUCGAGUUAAGGUGCCGGAAUACACGCUCAUUUAGAUCCCAUAAAAGGUGUUAGUUCAUCUAGACAGCAGGACGGUGGCCAUGGAAGUCGGAAUCCGCUAAGGAGUGUGUAACAACUCACCUGCCGAAUGAACUAGCCCUGAAAAUGGAUGGCGCUUAAGCGUGUUACCCAUACUCGACCAUCAGGGUAAAUGCGAAACUUUGAUGAGUAGGAGGGCGUAGAGGUCGUGAAGAAGUCUAGACAGUGAUGUCGGAUGAAACGGCCUCUAGUGCAGAUCUUGGUGGUAGUAAAGGGCGAAUUC